UACAGGGAGCGGUGCGUGUCCACUCUUCCUCUAUGGGUCGCUGGCGGCAGCUUCAUUUCUUCUGAUUACUCUGUUAAUUACACUGGUAAUAUGCUAUCGAAGACAGAAUAAACCAGAUGCGUAUUUGGCAAAUGAACCAUCGAUGUAUUCCGAGAUUCGCGUUACAGGGAGGGCGCCAGACAAACAAAUAGC